CCAGGCCCAGCCUUCUGAAGCACAGUAAACAAAAGGUUUCCACACAUGAAGAGCCAAGGUUAAUGGAUGUCCAGUCAUGUGCAGUAGAAGCAGGUGAUGGGUUCCCAGAAGAUCAGCCUGGUGGGAGAUACUACACAAGUCUUGUCCCAGAUCUUGUGGUAAAAUCUCUUCUUCCUGCUCAUUGCUCAGUCGUGACUCUUUGCUACUCUGUGGACUGUAGCCUCUCAGGCUCCUCUGUCCAUGGGAUUUCCCAGGCAAGAAUAUUGGAGUGGGUUGCCAUUUCCUCCUCCAGAGCAACGAUGCCAUCUCCGUCGCCGGCAAAAACACACAGAGGAGGCUCCCACCCAGGCUCGAACCUGGGGGCACACUGGAGAGAGGGCCGGCGUGGACCCCGAGUCGGAGAGCCUCCCACCCCCGCGGGGAACAAUAGCUGCCGCCUCCCCGGGGCGGUGGGGCGGUCGCGCCGCACAAAGGCCGGCUCGGCCAGCGCCACGUGACGCGCGCUCGACCCGCUCUCCCGGCGGCGCGGCGGACGGGAGGGUGUUCCGACCCACCUAGAACACUUUCCGAAAGACAAACGCGGUUCCUCCUACUUCGGAGCAAGUCCGGGCCAGCUGGGAUCCGACCAGAAACCGCAAGCGGAGGAGACGCGGGUACGCAAGCGGAGCGGUAACGGAGGGCGCGACCUGCCGCCCUGCGCUCUGCCGCGCCAGGCCCGAGGGUCGCGCCGCCCGGUCUUCCCCUCGCCAGGGACGGCAGCCGCCCAGCAGCCCCGCCCGCGGGCCAGGCAGGGCGCCGGGUGCCCCGAGCCUCCCGGCCCCACCUCCACGCCCCACCUCCGCGCACUUCGCGCUUGCCCCAGUGACACCCUUCACCGCUGCUGUCCCCCUAGAAAGGGACAAACCCGUCUCUGAAGGCAGGACGAGAAAAAACCUCAAUAGGUGGGAAGGUUCUUGCAAACACUUUUAUUUAAGAGUUUUAUAAAGGAUGUCCUGAGGGAUCAGAAUUCAGGGGAGACGCUGAACGAAUUCUCUCAUUGUCCUUCAGGACUAUUUCCUAUUUGUAUGGGAGGAAGGAGGUUAAGAGCCCCUGUUGAACUUGGAACUAAACUUGAAUGCCAUUUAAAAUAACCAUUAAAAUACACUUAAAACACUAACCAC
ensembl:lncRNA